rnacentral:lncRNA from 1 species
CCCCUAUGAGCACCUCCGAAAGACUGGUCUGGCGUAUCAUUUUGAAGGGUCAACAAUGGUCUCUAGCUCAACUAGCUUAUGAAUUAUAUCUCCUAUAGCAGGUUCUUUUUUUUUUAGAAUUCAUAUAGCAGGUCUUUUUAUGCUGGUCAUCGUUACACAUGGUUGGGCUAUUUCAAAUUUUCAAUGCAUCUUCUCUGUUGGGCUUCGCCCGCCCACCAACAUUUUCUCCCUGCCCCCCCCCCCACCCCCCCCCCUCCUUGCCCCCACAAUGAGAUACUAUGGGCCGCAGAGUAAAAAAUGGGCCUCCAUGGACGCUACAGGCAGGCCCACUGUCAUCACGCCACUAAUCACAGACCUCCAUCGGAUACGGUUAGGCUUUCUUAACCGCCUCAACUUCUUCUUCUACCUCCACGGAUCCAAACCUUCCACGCAACCCAAUCCGAGCCGCAAGCGAGACCAAUCCCCCCCCGCCGCCCUACUUCUUAUAAUCCGGCAACCGAUUCCCGCAGAAUCGCAACAAGCAGCAGCUCUCCCAGAGCGAAACGCCUCUCGCCGACGACCUCCGAAACGCGCCACCAACCACCAAAGUCCCCUCCUUUUUUCCCGGCCGGCGGCUUCGAUUCCGCGACGGUGGGUUCUGGUUCUCAUCAUUGCCUCCCGAUCUGGCUUCUCCAUGUAUGAUCGGGCCGUAUGCAUGUGCAGGCCCGGCUGCUGUCCCCCCUUUCGGCUAAUAAUCGAUUGGAUUGCUAAAUCUCUUAUGGUAACUGUUGACUAACUUUCUCCAUGGCAGGUCAACGAGGGGGGGUCGCGCCAGCCAUGGGUUUGGGAUUGAGAGUGCCGGUCUCCUUCCUCCUCCUGCUGCUGCUCGUCAGCGUGGGAGCUGCGCAAGGCAGGAGCACCACUGGUAUGUCCAAUAUCUUUUUUUUUUGCAGGUGGUAUGUCCAAUAUCAACAGGGCUUGUUUAAUUCCUGGCGCUGCUAACCAUGCUUGUUUGCUCUGUCUCUCCUAAUCUGCACCAACCAAUGGCUGCCUUGUGCGAAUUGAGAAACAACAUGAAAUUAGUACUAGUGAAUUACCAUCUUUUGUUGCAAAAAACCGUCAGUCAUUCGUACGCUGCUGACGGUGUGCUAUUCGGGUUGGGAUUGAGAUUGCGGUCCAGGAUAUCUUGCUAUGAAAUAUUAUGCUAUGCUAGUUGGUUAGUGGCUAGUUGGGCAUCGGAUCGGGAUUGAGAUUGAGAGUACGGCCGAGGAUAUCCUGCUAUGAAAUAUUAUGAUCUGCUAGUUGGGUAUUGAAAGUUUAUUGUGCCAUUACCGUGUCCAUCUGCUUGCACCAGCCUCUUUAGACCAUGCCACACCGCAUGAUGUGUUUUGCUUUGUAAGUUCAUGCAUGCUUGUAUUAGGAUACAGUAGUAACUAUGGAUAGCCAAUCUUGUUUUUAACAUUGCUAACUUCCUCGUAACCAAUAUGAUAAAUAAUAUGGCCAUUGCUAGAAGAUUUACUCUUAUGAAAAUGCUCCUCCUCGUGUACACAAUUGUUCUUUGGCCAGCAACAUCAAUGAUGAUAUCCGAUGUAUUUAUUUUCAGUUUUUCUCAAUAUUGAGAAUGAGGCUGGAGAGCAUGGUCAAACCUACAAGGAGCAAAUAAUUUCGAGCAAAAUUCCUGUCCAUGUUGAGAGGGGAAACCCAUUGUGCUCGGCCUGUAAGAACCUUACAAAUGAAGCCGUUAGCUAUCUUAGUCAGAAACAAUCACAAGAUAAGAUGCUGGAGGUCCUUCACGAAGCUUGUUCUCAGACAUUCUCUUUGGAGCAGAAGGUAAUCGUUUUGAACACUUUGGUUUGUUUCUAUAAUUAGGCGCACAUAAAGUACCGCGUAUUGUAGAAAAAUUACCAUCUGGAUAGAAAGAUGUUAUUACAUGCUUCUUGUUAAAUGCCUUCCUGGAGAGAUACUUUUGAAACAGCAACUGUACAUAAUAACAGAUUGUCUUAGCAUGGACUCUCUCUGUCUCUGCAGUGUGUUGAGUUGGUGGACUCCUAUGCGACUCUUCUCUUUGCCAAGAUUGCUGAGAUCAAACCAGACGAAUUCUGCAAACAGCAUGGCCUCUGCAGGGAUACUGCUCUUCUGUCAAUCUCUGGUGUGAAAAGCGAGAGCACGUGCGUGUUCUGCCACCAUCUCGUGGAUGAAGUUAUGUCCAAACUGAAAGAUCCUGAUGCUGAGGUAAUUGCUUUGUUUCACUUACACCAUCGAUGCCCUGGACUUUACCCGUUCUGCCCCUAAUAUUAUCCAUUUGAUUGAUAUCUCUGUAGUUUGAGAUUAUCCAAAUUCUCCUCAAGGAAUGCAACAAGAUUGAAGGUCAUGUGCAGCAGGUAAGCUAUCUGCCACUUCUUUUCUAUGCCCCUUUGAUGUUUCUUAGGCCGUAGCUUAUAUGCCAGAUUCACUCUGGUGAAUCGGUAUCACCGUUUGAAGAUUCCUUGACAAUGUUCUCAGAUCUCCCAGCAUUUUCAGUUAAUCAUGUUCCAUGUAACACCAUGCAAGUCUUUUACAUCGUUUGGUAUCUUGUCUAACAGUGCAAGAGACUGGUCCUGCAAUACAUCCCUCUCAUCCUGGUCAACGGCGAGAAGUUCCUCGAGAAGAACGACAUAUGCACGAUCGUCCAGGCUUGCAACACCACCCAAAAGAGCACGGCCCGAUCGUCCUUCGAGGGGGCGUUGCUGAGCGACGCAUGAAUGAAGGGCAGGAAAACGGCCCACACGAAGAAAAAUCGGCAAAAAACAAGGAUGCACAAGUUCUUGCUGUAUUGUACAUAGGGGCUGUUUGUUAAAUUUAAGUGCCUAUUGUUGUUGCCUAGCCGCUCCUGCAUUCAUUCUGUGGAUGACUUGUAUUUAUAAAAGGAGUGGCAAGCUAUGAAUAACUCUGUCAAGUCAAGUUGGUGUGUAUAGUUUAUUUGCACAGCUUUGUACUGCUGUUUCAAUUCCAGUAAUUCUAGUAACAUGAAAGCCAUGUAUUUGCUGGUCAUUACUGUGUUGAGGAGUGGUUAAUCUGCUGCAUCAAGCCUACAACAGCACUCUUUUCCUAAUUCCUACAUAUGCAACAUGAAAUAUGGUAUUCAACCACUGCGUUAACCAAGAUGACAUUUUUAUAUUAAACGCAGUCAAAAUAUUAAUAUUCUCUCUAAAAAAUUAAAAUUCUAAUACAGUAAUAGGAGUAAUAAACAAAUGUUAUAAUAUCUCGAGCUUUGAGCAACGAACAGUUACAAGGGCGAGUGAAGAAGAGCGGGGGAGAUGGGUGGCAGCAGCGUGAGGCAGAGGCGAGUCAACUCCAAUUGGCCGGAGGAGGAGGAGGCGAGGGCGAUGUGGACGGCGGCGGCGCAGACGACGGCGACCCACCGGCUCCGCGCGCGCGCCGAGGCGGCGGUGGCGGCGCUGGUGGCCGUCCGCCCGCACGAGAUCCCCGCGCUGACGAGCGCCGCCUCCACCUUCUUCUUCGUGAGCAGCACAAAAUUACAUCUCCCCUCGAAUCUGCUUUCCCAAAUUUCAGCCAUGGAAAUUGGUUUUUGAUUCUGCAGAUCCUGAGCGCCUACUUCGUGGUGCUGCCGCUGCGGGACGAGGGGGCAAUCUCGCUGGGCCUCGGCGCGCUCCCGGGACUCUUCGCCGGCUCGCUGCUGCUCACCGUGCUCGCCGCCCCAGUCGCCUCCCUGGCCUUCUCCCUCCCCUCCCUCCCCAAGACCAAGGUCCCUCCCGCGCCUGCCUGCCUUCCUCUCGUUUGCGCUUGCUCUAUUUUUAGUCUGAAGAGAGCUCCCGUUCGUUCGCUCUUGACCAAUGUAGGAAAUAACAGAGUUAGGUUCCCACGGUUGUAUGUUCAACUUGAUUUAGUUCUAGAAAGGUCGGACUAGAGAUAGUAGAGUGUGUGUUGCUUCGAGUGCAGAAGCUUGUUCAAUUUUCAAUUGUUUUCGCUCACGGAGUUCAAAUUGUCUGCCAAUUAUUUAUCCCUUCGCUGACACAAGCUAAUUUUAUCAUCCAUAUCUGGAAUUUCAGGCUUUGGUUUUGAUACACAGGUUCUUCAGUAUCUCCCUUCUUGUAUUUUUUGUGCUUUGGUUUGCCUCUAAACCUGGCUCCCAAUCUAUCUCCCAGGUAAUACACACGUGUAGUAUUGGGGAUUAUUUUGAUUUUGAAUGCAUGAUUACAUUUCUCUGUAGUUUUAGAAUAUGUCAUCCUGACCCUGCGUCAUCACAUUUCCCUGUGUUUCUUAGUGCAUCUUUUGCCCUGCAUUCCAGCCACUUCGCAUAUUCUCUAAAUUUGAUAAUCGGAAAGGACAAAUUGAAGCUGAUUUUUAUUUAUUUUGUUGAUGUUAUGAUCAAGUCAAGUGAAGAUAGUUCAAAUAAACCUGCCGGGUGGGGAAACCACAGCUGGUUCUACAUAGCAGUGAGAAUAAGCUUCUUUCUUUGGGUAAGCCUUUUCCUAUUACAUUAUCCUCUUCAUGUUUUUGAGAUUCAAGUUGUCAUUCAUUUCAAUCACUCUCUCUCCGUCUGAAGGUUGCUUUACUUAAUCUCCUUACGAUAUCAUCCACUUGGGCAAGGGUUAUUGAUGUCAUGGACAGUGAGGUAUCAUUUGUUAACUGCAACAGAAAAUAUCAGUAACCUGUAAGACGCUUUGCCUUUUCUUUCAAAUCCUUAUUUCUCUUUUGAUUCAGUCAGGUUCAAGAUUAUUUGGUUUUAUUGGGGCUGGUGCUACGCUAGGGCAACUCUUUGGUUCGUUGUUUGCCGCAAGCAUGGCGUGGAUGGGACCCUGUACGUAUGUUUUUCUAGGAUGAUCCUCUGGAUAACAUAAUGACUUCAUGUCUGACAUAUCAUGGAUGCAAUUUCAUAUCCCGAAUUUUCCUCAGUUCUGCUCCUUUUUUCCUCCCUCUUGAUGGAACUUGCUGCAUUGUCAUCAAAAGGAAUAUGCAUUGAUGUUAGUAAUGUUUCAACAGAGCUGCCAUCAACAGGGUAUGUAAUCUUUCUGGACGUGAGUUACAAGUUAUCGAUUCAUUUUUUGGUGCUUCCGUCUGCUGAAAGUUGUAAUCUAAGACAUCUCAGUCUAUUGCUUAUUGCAGAGCAGAACAAAGUCCAAAUACUGAGCCUGGUGAUGAAAUGUCUUCACUGGUCACUUCACCUAGAACACCUUCCCAAUCUCAAAAGUCCAAACCUGGGUUUUUUGUGAUGUUUGAAGGUUUCUGGCUGAUCAUGCGUUCCCCCUACCUGAUAUACAUAUCUCUAUUUCUAUGGCUGAGUGCAGUUAUCUCAUCCUUCUUUUACUUCCAGGUAUAAAUUUUCUCUAUCUGUGUAUUACAUGCACAAUAAGUUUGCAAUGUUGUGAGCAUGUUGCUGCCUUAAAUAAAUGGUCAGAAUACAAAAGGAUCCUCCCUUUACUUCCCUAAUUACCAUUUCUCUCUAUCUCCAGAAAGUAACGAUAGUUGCCACUACAAUAUCAAGCCCAACUGCCAGAAGGAGAACAUUUGCACUGAUAAACAGCUUUAUAGCAGUCUUUAUUCUUGCCGGGCAGCUCACUUUGACGGUACCUUGUCCAUCUUCAGCUGUCCUCAUUUUGCUCAACUUCAUUACCCCCUAUCCCGUGUGAACAAGUAAACAAAUAUUAGAUAAACAACAUGUCACCUGCUAGAACUAGUAUACCUGCCGCACAUCAUGGAGAAAGAAAGUAGCACUUUUUAUGGCAUUAUGCAUUGCGUGAGUGUGUAUGGUAUAAUCGAACUUAAGUCGCCCGCUGUUCAUAUCUAUGGUCUUCGUUUCCUGAACGAUUAUCAUAAUAGGAAACUGCACCAGAAUUUACACUAAAGAGUAAAGAUGAGUUUUGCAUUGCUCGUUCACAACGUUGUAAACUGCAGUACAUAAUUAUUGAAUUAAAAUUUGUAAAUGUUACCUCCAGUUUUUGCUAAUUCUUUGUGUACACAGCAUUGAUCUGCUUGUUAUUUGAUAUAUUCUUUAUCAAACAUCCAUUAUUACUUUCAAAAUAAUAACCUUCUGUGGAAUUUCUAUGCUUUUCCCCUGCCAAAGAAAUUCUCAUGUGCACUGAGAAAAUUUCCAGUGAGAUACCUACGAGUUCUUCUGCAUUUCUAUUAUUCGUGUCAAGGAGCAAAGUUCAAUUCAGUGUUGUCCAAGUGUCCAACUGAUGCAUGCUGUGUCUCUACCUGUCUAGUCUAACUAUUAAACAGUGAUACUUGAUGUUGAAUAAAACAACAUAAAUCAACAAAUCAAUGUAUCUCUUCCAAGACUCUGCGGUGAAUAUUGUAGUUUAUCUUUUUCUUAUCCAUCCUUUUGGUAAUUAUAACAUUCUUAGAUUGUGGUCAAUUCCCGGUAUAUGAUUUAAAGUUUAAACAAGUACUUAUUUCAGGGACAUAUCCUUACAGUAGCUGGUGUAACAGUUGCUAUUUGUGCAUCUCCAUUCAUUGCUGCCUCAAAUCUGGUUGCCCUUGCCGUAUGGCCAACUUGGGUUGCUGUGGCUGUCACUGAAACAAUUCGAAAGGUAUCAAUAGAUCAGAACACUCUAAUUGAACUCGUAGUGCAUUUGCUGUUUUUUCCCAACCAUUAAAUGUUGAUAUAAAAAGGUACUGCAUUAAAAGAUAAUGCAUAUACAAAAGCUGAGUAGCCAUUACCAGCAGAUUAUAUCUUGAGUUUGAUUUAGUACCCUGGAUUGAUUUCUUAUGAAAGAGCUUCUGCAUUGUCAUCCUAUUGUUAAUAAGCUCAGAAUAUAUAUUCAUUUCGUUGCAUUUUAAGUAUGAGUACAGCUUCAUUCAGCUGCCUCUUAAAUCACUGCAAGAUUGCAGUUUCUUUUCUGCUAUGCUCAAAACUGUCUGAUUAGUGCCUUUUUCCAUCAUUAUGCUAGUAACAAGGCAUUAGUUCUGAACUGUAGUAUAUCGAACAUGAUUAUUUCGUCAGUUGUUUGCAACAUGAUUGUUUGGUAAAGGGAUUAUACCCACAAUUUUCUUCAUCUACCAACACUGAUUUGGGGCAUACUGAAUGCUGUUUGAUACUAGGAGAAGUCGAUGUUAUCAUUUCUUUCUGUGUCCAUGUACACUCUGGAAUACACUUAUUUUUUUAAUGCAGUUAUAUAUCGUUAUUCUGUUUUGUUGUUUCACAAUCUUUAAUUCAUUGCAGGUAACUACUUAUGUUUUGACAAGACCGGGAAGGGAGUUAUUAUUCACUGUUGUUUCACAGGAUGAGAAGUACAAGGCCAAGGUAAACGAUGAGUUCCUUGCCUACUUUGGGCAUGAUAACUGUUAGAAAACAUAAUGAGGCAUAACUUUGUACCCCAUAGACAACUAAUAGCAUAUAAAUGGGAUGUAAUCGUUUUGCUUUCAUUUUGACUAGUUUCCACUUGAGUUUAUUUGGAGGUCAGCUGAAGGAAGCAAAAUGAUCUUUGGAAAUAUGAUUCUUGGUGUCAAGUGAACAAUUUUAGCAUUCAACAUUUGUUCCAUUUUAACUAAUUGCAGCACAUCAGUGCUAAUAUUUCUCUCCUAAACUGAAAAGCUGGAGUACAUAGCAAUGAUCUAUUUUUUUUUUCUAAUUUUAGACACAGCAGAUGUUUACUUAGAAAGAGUGUUUUUGCAGCUGACCACUUACCUUAUCGAGGGUGUCGGAUUUUUUAAAGGCAUCUUGCAUGAUACUGGCAAAUCAUUUGAAAACUGAAAAGGAUCUUGUUUUACCACCCAUUUUGCAUGUUGAUUUUGCUGAUUUAAUUUGGCUAAAUAAAUAUUUUUCUUGUAGGUCUGUAUAGAUGUUAUCGUUCAAAGGCUUGGUGAUGCAACAGCUGCUGGAAUUUACAGGUUCCUGUUCAGUAGUCUUGAGAAGCAAACAUCCAUGGCCAACCUCUAUGCUUUGCCGGUAUGAAUCUUUUUUUUCUUCUUUUGCAUUUGUUAGGUCCUGGGAGCUAUCACUAACGAGUAGCCUGUGUUCCUUCUGUUACUAGCUCUGCUUCCUGUGGCUUCUCACCGCAUUUCAUUUGGGACGGCUUCAGACAAAUCUUGCCAAGCUUCAGGCAGCUUCUGACCCAUCGUAGCUCCUCCUAAACAGGUAUCUGGCAAAAUAAAAACGGCACUCCCCGUACAUUUCAUCUCCUUACAGACUAAGCUGGUUGUGCCUGACCUUCUCUUCUCUAGGAUUCUGACUUGAUACAGGUAAUUGCUUCCAGAAUGCGGAAACACGGAAGGGCAGAAAGUCGGGUUGCUGCCCACAUUGUUUUGGUCUACACGUUUCGAAGGAACUGCAAAUUGACAGAGCCUUCGGAUAUAACAGCUGAGAUAACUACAGCAAGAGUCAACAUAGAGGAAGAGAGAAAUAGUAUAUCAUAUAGAAAAAAGGGGUAAUGUAACAGCUUGAUGUAGAUUAAAACAAUGCGCGAUGCCAAAUCUUUGCGCCCACUUUUAGUUAAUUCAUUCAUUCAGUUGAUCCGAUAGAAUUAUGUCACGCAAACUGUAAGAUGUGCCAAUGCAGUGUUCAUGUGGAAGUAGGUCUGGAUUUGUUGGGCACUAUGCUAAAUGAAAAAAAAAACUCAAUACAAUGUAGCCCUGCAAUAUACUGUCACGCACAACUGAAUUACUGGUGCUAGAAGUGCAUUUUUUUUUCUUCUCUCUCUCUCUCUAUACCGUGUCGAUGCUCGGAACGCGGGAUAUUGUCGUAAAUCUCGUGCGAAAUGAACUGUUGUGUGAGAAAUUGAAAUUCUCAGUGGUUGAAAUACGCCCAGUUUGAAAUGCCAUAUUUGUUGCUUAUUUCAGGUUCUUGAUGCCCUCUUUCUGGAACAUGUACACACCUAAAGAAGACUGGCUUGCGUUUCCUUACAAGAAGCACCAAAGAUCAAACCUUCGGAAGAAAAAGAAGUAGAUUUAGUAGUAUCAAAUUUGCACCAUCUUUCUGCCAGCCCAUUUCAAAAUCGCGCGCAAACCGCAAAGCAAAAUCGAGGCGGAUAUAAAACGCGCGGGAGGAAGGCGAAGAAUUCGACAUCCAAUUUCCAUCCAUCAAUUCAUCAAUCCUUGGUAAUUUGGCAGGAGGAAGAAGAAGACGGCAAUGGCGACAAAGCUCUGCCUCGCGCUACUCCUCGUCGUCAUGGCUGUCGCGGCGACGCCGGCUGCGGCGACGCGGCGGCGGCCCGAGUCCCGCGUGCUCUGGUACCCAGGCAUCCGCCCCCGCGGCGGCAGCAGCCCCAGCGUCUUCCCCGGCUGGCCCCGCCGCCCCUCCUCGCCGCCAGCUUCCUCCCGCUUCUCCCCACCAUCACCCCGCCCAUCACCACCGGCGUCGCCAUCUCCAGUCGUCCCCACGCCCCCCUCCUCCACCCCACCCCCCUGCGUCGCCGCCGCGCGCCCACUCCCAGGCUUCCCCGGCGUCUCUUCCUCCCCAUCAACUUCAUCUUCCUCGGCUCCGGCGGACUGCGUGACGCCACUGGCAGGCCUGAUGACGUGCGGGCCCUUCCUGACGGGCAGCGCCCAGGACACGCCCGCCCCCGGGAGCGAGUGCUGCUCGGGGCUGGGGAUGUUCCUCAACAGCACCGCCGCCGCCGAGGACCGGUCGCUGCGGUGCCUGUGCCCGGUGAUCCUCGGCGACGUGAACCGGAUGCUCCCCCGGCCCGUCGACCCCGUUCGCAUGAUGUACCUCCCCAUCUCCUGCGGCGUCGUGCUCCCGCCCCAAGUCCUCUUCAUCUGCUUCAGUAAGCCAUCUACGCACACAAAUCCUCUUCUCUUUGAAUUCGGAUUUUCUGAUCUUGGAUGCGUCCCCAAUCUUGAUUUCCUUUCUUUCUUUGGGUGUUUGAAUUUCAGAUUGAUUUUUUGAUUUUUUUUUUGAGUUGGUUUGGUUUAUUGAUUUGGGGUUUCUUCAGUUCAGCUCAGCAGGCAAUUUGAUUUGGGGUUUUUUGAAGCUUUGGUUUCUUUCUUUUGGCGUUUGAAUUUCAGCUUGGAUUUGAGUUUAAUUUGAUUUUGUGAUUUUGGGAUUGAUGAAUGCAGCCGGGCAGCCGACUCCGCCGGUGGUCUCGAGGAUCCCGGACUCGUGGAGGAAGACCUUCUUUUCUUCGUCGUCGUUGUCGUCGUCUUCUUCUUCAGGCAAUCAAUCGACUCUUACUCCUCCUGAAAAAUGAUCCGUACUCUCAUACCUGUUAACUAAUUAAUCUUGCUAUGCUGAUCAUGGCUAAUCACUUAAUUGCAUGCUUUUCUCUGAAUUUAGUACUGAUGUUGUCUCGAUCUCUACUCGUGCAUUGCAGCAGCAGCAGCAGCGUUGUCGCCUUGAUGGAUCACCCACAAUCUCGAUCGGGAUAACACUCUAUGGCGUAUGUUAAGAUCAAUCUAUGGCCUACAAGAAUAUUUAGCUAGCCCCGGGUUCAUGUACUGAAAAUUAGUUAAUUGCUAGUGGUAAUUUAUAUAGAUGUUAUGAACGAUAAUGUAAUGGGGAUUUUGUUUUCGUUGGGAAUAUGAACAAAUACAAGAGAAAUUCGUCGGUCCGAUAUUGUAACCUUUCCUGCCCUCGCCAUUUUGCAUGGUUUAAUUCUGCAAGGGGUAUGUAUAAUGGCAUCGUGCAUGUUAACACGAAUUUUUACAUUGUGCAUUGUGAAUAUGAACAAUGUAUGCCGGGAUAUUGUCGCGACCUCUCCUAUAGUUUCCCGUCAAAAAGGAAAUGUGUGCAAGGAUUGUGGCCGUGCAUAGUCGUCGCUCGUCAGGACAAGAGCGGGAUGAGGCAAACUCAAGUGUGGAAUCCUCUGCCCUUACAGAAGCAUGUUGCACAGCAAAGUAGAUAAUUUCCAACUUAAGUCAGGGUAGAAAAAUGUUGAUAUCACUAUUCCCUUAUGCAUUAGACAAAAGGAACCAAUUUUUUAAUCUGAUUUCCCCUUCUUCUUGAUGAAAGUUGUGAAACGAGACCAUUUUGCAUAAUCAAUACUACGAUUCUUUCAUAAUAAUCUUUCUUAAAUGCCUCGUUCCAAACCGCCAAUCCAUGUGAAUUCAUUUACUUAGUAAUUCUUAUCUUGACAUGCAUAAGUUUCAUGUUAACAUGUAUAGAGAUACUUGGGCCAAAAAAAAACAUGUAGAGAAAUGCAUAACAUUAAUCAUGCUGGCAGAAAAAGAAAGGAACACAUUCAGUUAGAACAACAUCAAUAAUUAAGAACUAUACUUGCUAUUCUUUCCUUGCUCUUUUAGUUAACACGGAAGCUCCUGCGGAGAGUAAUUAAGAACAAAAGCAGUUCCAUAAAAAGAAGUGAUAACCAAUAAUAGAAAGUGUGGAGCAUGGACACUAGAAUUUCUUAGAAUAGAAUAGAAAGCUAGUUUGAUAUGAAUCUCAAACUUGGAAAUUGAUGCCACUAAUCGACUUGGACUUUGCAGUCGAGCAACAUACGUGUUAAAUGCUACACCCUCCAUUUGGGGUGGGAUCAAAUUGCGGCAUAAAGUUUCAUGCGGGCCGUAUAAACUUGCAUGAAAAAGGUGUAUUCCAACACAGGUUUUUUUUCCCUAUUCUUAAGUAAAACCUAGAAACUCCAAAGAGAUGUUUAAAACACAUGACUGGUGGUCUAAUAGUUUUCUUACAUACAUUGGGAAUAGGCUUCCGAGGCAGUUAUAUAACUAGAUCUGGUUCAUAACCUUCCAUGUUCCCACGAUUGAGCAAUAAAAAUAAGCAUAAAAUAAUUCUGGUUUUUUACGCAUACAAUCUUUAGUCCUUUGUACUCAUAUGCUAAUUUUCAUUGAAAAAUGAACUUUUUUAGCCCCAUGCAGAAGAGAUGAAUAGAAUGCCCUCAAUAUGCAGUUUUUAACACAAUAAAUCAGACAAUUUUUUUUACCCAAGACACUUUAAAAAAAAUAAUACAACCAUAUACUCCCUCCGUCCAACAAAGGAUGUCUCAACUUGGACUAAAUUUGAAUGUAUAUAUACACUAAGUCAUGUCUAGAUACAUUCAAAAUUUGACAAUUUGAGACAUUCUUUGUUGGACGGAGGGAGUAGAUUGUUUCGACUUUUUCUGACAUUUAGAGUGUUAUUUUUUACCCAUGCUCGAGGUGAAUUUCGCUUAUAGACAUUCUUAUCAAAUAAUUGACCGAGCAAAGGGUGCAUGGGUGGGUGCUCCUUGCAGGAACCACUGAAUUAGUCGAUUUUCUAUCCAACUUAACAUGGUUGCAUGGAACAUCAACCGUAACGUAUUUGAUCAAACUGUAGUUUUAGUAGUAAUAAAAAUGAAGUUCUCCACAGGGAUUAAUGCAAUGAUUCCUUUCCAAAUCUCAAGCUAAACUCACAGAUCAACAAGCUUUGGACUGAACAGUAACAAAUCUAACUUGCUGAUCUAAUGUUUUUGGGGUUUUCGGGGUUUUCGGUUAAAUGUAGCAAAUCUGACCACAAGGUACUAACUAACUGAAGAAACAGACACAGACAAGAAGAUUUAACUGAAGAAAAUCAACACUAGCAGAGAAGAUCUUUCUGCGACGAAUUUAGAGUUUAGACAACAAGGGUUUUAGAGAAAGAAGAUGAAAUAGAGAAGAUCUAGAGAAGACAAGCAUCAAAACUAAUAGACAAGGAGAGAGUUUCAGAUCAAAGAGUAAAACAUCACAGGCAGAUCAUGACUCUACUACACAACAAACUGACAGAUAUUUAAAGAACUAGAGCACAAACUUAUAAGGAAAAUAGAGCACAGCACAACUUCAGCAAUAUUAAAGAUUUCUCACGACUAGAUUUAGUUACAGACAAGCUUAAUCAUACGAAUUCAGCAGCAGAUUACAGAUCUUCAGCAAGAACAGAUGGGAACUAGAGAGUGUGAAGAAUAGGGGCAGGGAUUACAGAAUUUCUUUCAGCAGCAGAGAAUUGGAGAAAAGGAAGAUGAUGAUCUAGCUUAACAACUCUCAAUUUCUGGUGAAGAAGUAUCCAAAUCACCCAAGAACAGCCUUGGAUAUCGCCAGCUUCCUCUCUUCUUCCUCUCUCUUCUCCAUGUUUCUGGAUCCACCCUCUUUUUCUUCCCUCCUCGAAAGAAAGAGGUUCACCACCUUUUAUGCUCUUCUCCUUGCUCUCUCUCAGAGGCUGUCACCAUCACCUUUUGAAUUAUGCAACCAGCCCCUCCUUUUGCUAGCUUGACACCGAAGAAGAUCCCUGCUUAUGCCACCUAUUUGCUUGAUCACCCCUCUUCCUUUUCCCUUUCUUUGCUUUUUUAGCUUUUCUUCUCCCUGCUUCUUUGCCCUUGCUUCUUGAUGUAGUAGGAAGUAGAUUUUUGGUGCCUUUUCUGCAAAAAGCAAGCAGUGCUGUAAAAAGACACAUUUGGCCCUUUUCGGCUGAAUUCAUUCAAAUUUAAAUUCAAAUGAUUCAAAUUCAAGUAUGAUCAGCACCAAAUAUGUUUGAAAUUGAUUUAAAAUUAUGUACUGAUCACCCCCCCCCCAUACCUGAAUUUUUGCUUGUCCUCAAGUAAAAAGAUUUGGCCCUCGAACACAAGUUAAUUAGUAAUGCAAAGUAGUAAACAAAUAAGAGUAAUUGACAAAUGCAGUUCUCUGUCAGAGUGUUCAUAUAAAUUGUGUAUCAGACGUUUCAAUGAUUUCUAGGCAUCAACAAUGAUCUAGGGUGAAUGAGUAGAAACAAAUGAUAUCUAAAUCAUAGUACUGAACUGAGCUGAGCUACUAAAGUUCAAACAGUAAUGAAAACUCCAGGGAAAUGUGGCACAACCAUUUAUUUGCAGAAACUGUGACUUUUGUCACUUAUUGAAAGCUAAAAACUGUGGCAAAGCCACUUAUUGAAUUUGCAAAAAAAUUUAGACAAGAACUGUGGGACAGCCACUUAUUGCAAGAAACAUGACUUUUGUCACUUAUUCGAGGAAGAAUAAACACAUGUGGACCUUGCCACUUAUUGAAUUUCAGAGAAACCAGAAAGUAAACUGAAGUAACAAUGCUCAAUGACACAUGUUUCAGAAAUCACAAUCCCAGGAUCAUGACUCCUACUUAGUGACACUAAACAACUAGCUCAGGAAAGUACUAAAAAUUUAGAACACAAAGUUUCUGAAUCGUUUCACAAAAGGUCAGAAAUGAUGCACCAGGAAUCAUUAAAAUUUAAGAUAAACAGUUUAAAUGAUCAUUCUGGACAGAGAAUAACUUUUGCAACUCCUAUUAAAUGUUUUCUGACAAAGCAUGACCAUGAACAGUGCUGAGGCAAAAGUUUUAAAGUAUAGAUUCAUGUUAUCUUUUCAAAAUUAUCAAGAUGGGUAAAUUUGAAUCAUGAGCACAUAAUAUUUAUACCAAAAGUAUCAAAAAAAAUGGAGACUGAAACAGCUCACCAAAUUUCUGAACAUUAAUUCCUUGACUUGAUAGAAUUGGUUGCAAAAAUUGUCUACUCUCACUUCUUACUUUACCCUUUCUGUUCUACCUUAAUAUACAUCUUUCCUGAUUCUCCUGCUGCUGAUUCAUGCAUAAACCCUACGAAAAGAAAAGAUAAACAAAAAUAAAACAAACCUCAUAGAGGCA